GGGUGCGAUCAUACCAGCACUAAUGCACUGGAUCCCAUCACGACUCUGAAGAUAAGUGUGCUUGGGAGAGAAUAGUACUUAUUGAUAUGUCACAUAUGAUUUCUAUCA
rnacentral:rRNA from 1 species